rnacentral:rRNA from 1 species
UACAGAGGGUGCGAGCGUUAAUCGGAAUUACUGGGCGUAAAGCGCACGUAGGCGGCUUGGUAUGUCGGGUGUGAAAUCCCCGGGCUCAACCUGGGAACUGCAUCCGAAACUGCCUUGCUAGAGUAUGGGAGAGGGAAGUGGAAUUUCCGGUGUAGCGGUGAAAUGCGUAGAUAUCGGAAGGAACAUCAGUGGCGAAGGCGACUUCCUGGACCAAUACUGACGCUCAGGCGCGAAAGCGUGGGGAGCAAACAGG